rnacentral:rRNA from 1 species
UAGGGAAUCUUCCACAAUGGACGAAAGUCUGAUGGAGCAAUGCCGCGUGAGUGAAGAAGGGUUUCGGCUCGUAAAACUCUGUUGUUAAAGAAGAACAUAUCUGAGAGUAACUGUUCAGGUAUUGACGGUAUUUAACCAGAAAGCCACGGCUAACUACGUGUCAG